GGCUCGUCCAAGUGCAGUGGUGUUUACAACUAAUUGAUCACAACCAGUUACAGAUUCCUUUGUUCCUUCUCCACUCCCACUGCUUCACUGCACCAGCCUUAA
rnacentral:Y_RNA from 1 species